rnacentral:rRNA from 1 species
AGCGAACGCUAGCGGCGGGCCUAACACAUGCAAGUCGAGCGGGGGAGCAAUCCCCAGCGGCGGACGGGUGAGUAACGCGUAGGUUAUGUGCCCUUUGGUGGGGAAUAACCGUGGGAAACCAUGGCUAAUUCCGCAUAUCGAGCGAAAUCUUGAAAGCCUUCGGGCGCCAAAGGAGCAACCUGCGGCCCAUUAGCUUGUUGGUAGGGUAACGGCCUACCAAGGCGAUGAUGGGUAGCUGGUCUGAGAGGAUGAUCAGCCACACUGGAACUGAGACACGGUCCAGACUCCUACGGGAGGCAGCAGUGGGGAAUAUUGCGCAAUGGGCGAAAGCCUGACGCAGCCACGCCGCGUGAGUGAUGAAGGCCUUCGGUC